UUAAAAGUUUUACUUCUUUAUUACAGAUGAUAAUUGUUUACCUUAAGCUGCUCAAUCGAAGUCAUAUUCCAAGUGUUUAGUUGGUGCUUUUAAAAUUUAUUUUAGUCCUCCUGCAGUUACUGGACACCACUCGCCAUUGUUAUGUUGGAUAAACGCUCCGUUGUUAUGUCGAAGAAAGUACUUUUGCACCACAUACUUGUUAAUUGCGUGAUAACGUUGUGUAGUCGUUUUAUUUACUGUAUGGAUUCCGAAGCCAUGUUGAAAUUGUCCGAUUUUCUCCUUAGUUAUGGAGAACAAAUACGAGGAACUGCUCAUGUUUCUGUCUGUUGGGUCCUACCCAUCUGAAUACGAUAAGUCCCAGAGGCAAACCCUUAGGAGAUACGCCGCAAAAUUCAGGCUGAAGGGUGGAGUGCUCUUGUUUGGAAACAGGAGAGUGAUAAAAACAAAAGAAGAAGCCAUGGGACUAUUUCAAGAGUUUCAUUCAAGUCCCAUCGGUGGACACACUGGUGUACUCAAGACUCGAACUGCAAUGUGUUCCAGAUUUUACUGGUAUGGAAUGUCGGUUGACAUUGUUAAUUGGGUCCUGGCUUGUGACCAGUGUCAAAAAAUGGGAAAACCAUUGGCUGCUGUGCAACCACUGCAGUGUAUAAAGGUGUCACGUGUCUGGGAGCUAAUCGGAAUAGAUCUAACUGGACCUCUUCCAAAAACGUCUAGUGGCUUCCAGUACAUUAUGACUGCAACAGACUAUUUUUCAAAAUGGGUUGAGGCUUUUCCAUUAAAAAGCAAAAGUGCUGCUGAGGUAGCUCAUCAGUUGUGCUCAAUCAUAUAUAGACAUGGCUGUCCAAAACGAAUUUUAUCCGACCAAGGAAGGGAAUUUGUUAACGAGCUCAACUCAAGACUUUGCAGCUUAAUGAAAAUAGAUAGAAGUGUCACAGCAGCGCAUCACCCUCAGACAAAUGGCCUCGACGAAAAGACAAAUGACAACAUAAAAAGAGCCCUGAGAAAAUUAGUCAACAGUCAACAGAAUGACUGGGAUGUGUAUCUGGAUGCUACACUGUUUUCUUUGAGGUCCAAGGUCCACACCACAACCAAAUACACACCAUUCCGUUUAAUGUAUGGGAGAGAAGCUACGUAUCCUUCUGAAGUUCCUGUCGAAGUCCCAAGGCUAUGGGCUGCAAAGGAUACUGGGCGCUUGGAAUCAGUUGUUGGACCAUACAAGUUAUUUGAUUCCUCUUUUCGAACACUGCAGGGGUCACGGUGGCUUUCUGAUGAGGUCAUUGAUGCACACCUGCACCGUGUCACUGAGAGACGAAAGAAUGCUGUACACCUGCUCUGUUCAGUAGUUGCAAGCUCGUUGUUUUCUGGGCAGUUCAGAUGCCUCACCAAGAUGAAGUUCCCAGUUGAAGACAUGUGGCUGUGCCCUGUGAACUUUGGUACACACUGGAUUCUUGUGAUUGUCCACAUUUCUGCACAGAAAAUACUGCCCAUAGACCCCAUGGGGAAUGAAGGUGUUUAUGACAGGAAAAUUCUGCGCAACUGGAGGAAUUUUCUGAGGAUGAGAGGGCAUGAAGACACCAUGGAGUGGCAGUUACACACUAUGCAACACAACAAGCAACAGGAUUCCAGCAGUUGCGGAGUUUUGCUGUUAAAGUUUGCAGAACAGUACCUUGCUUUUGGAGAGGUCAGUGAGGUGUUAACCACUACAGAAGCAGUUGUGCUGGAGCGAAUGCAGAUAGCUUGCACCCUACUUGAACAUCGAGGGAACGCUGAGGACUACUGCAUUGUUUGUUCUAUGUUAGAUGCUGAUGCUGACCGCAGCAUGAUUGAAAUGGUGCAGUGUCAAUCUUGCCAAAGAUGGGCACAUUUUGCAUGUGCAAAAUAUAAAGAGAGCAACCAAGAAUAUAAAUGCAAAAAAUGUAAGGAAAAUACAUAACAACUUCAAAUAAAAACAGCUGUCUUUUCCCCUCCA